rnacentral:tRNA from 1 species
GAGGUUGUGGUGUAGCGGUUGCACAGCGGACUUUUAAUCCGCAGAGCGUGGGUUCGAAUCCCACCGGCCUCA